CAGCCGUAAACAAUGUGCGUUAGGUGUGUCGGUAACCACGCGUUACUGAUGCGCCGAAGAGAAAUCGUGAAACGCACCACCUGGGAAGUACGGUCGCAAGGCUGAAACUUAAAGGAAUUGGCGGGGGGAGCACCACAACAGGUGGAGCCUGCGGUUUAAUUGGAUUCAACGCCGGACAUCUCACCGGAUAAGACAGCUGAAUGAUUGUCAAUCUGAAGGUUUUACAUGACUAGCUGAGAGGAGGUGCAUGGC
rnacentral:rRNA from 1 species